UCACUUGUCUAUUCCGGGGGAGAUAUAAGUAUUUGCACCGCGUAGUACGGGGGUUCGAAUCCUACGCGAGGCGU
rnacentral:tRNA from 2 species